rnacentral:rRNA from 1 species
UACGUAGGGUGCAAGCGUUGUCCGGAAUUAUUGGGCGUAAAGAGCUCGUAGGCGGUCAGUCGCGUCUGCUGUGAAAACUCGGGGCUUAACUCCGGGCCUGCAGUGGGCACGGGCUGACUAGAGUGCGGUAGGGGAGACUGGAAUUCCUGGUGUAGCGGUGGAAUGCGCAGAUAUCAGGAGGAACACCGGUGGCGAAGGCGGGUCUCUGGGCCGUUACUGACGCUGAGGAGCGAAAGCGUGGGGAGCGAACAGG